rnacentral:tRNA from 3 species
GGGCCUGUAGCUCAGGUGGUUAGAGCGCUUCUCUGAUAAGGAAGAGGUCCCUGGUUCGAGUCCAGGCAGGCCCACCA